rnacentral:rRNA from 1 species
GACGAACGCUGGCGGCGUGCUUAACACAUGCAAGUCGAACGGAAAGGCCCUGCUUUUGUGGGGUGCUCGAGUGGCGAACGGGUGAGUAACACGUGAGUAACCUGCCCUUGACUUUGGGAUAACUUCAGGAAACUGGGGCUAAUACCGGAUAGGAGCUCCUGCUGCAUGGUGGUGGUUGGAAAGUUUCGGCGGUUGGGGAUGGACUCGCGGCUUAUCAGCUUGUUGGUGGGGUAGUGGCUUACCAAGGCUUUGACGGGUAGCCGGCCUGAGAGGGUGACCGGCCACAUUGGGACUGAGAUACGGCCCAGACUCCUACGGGAGGCAGCAGUGGGGAAUAUUGCACAAUGGGCGGAAGCCUGAUGCAGAAACGCCGCGUGCGGGGUGACGGCCUUCGGGGUGUAAACCGCUUUCGCCUGUGACGAAGCGUGAGUGACGGUAAUGGGUAAAGAAGCACCGGCUAACUACGUG